AACGAACGCUGGCGGCAUGCCUAACACAUGCAAGUCGAACGAGACCUUCGGGUCUAGUGGCGCACGGGUGCGUAACGCGUGGGAACCUGCCUUUAGGUUCGGAAUAACUCAGAGAAAUUUGAGCUAAUACCGGAUGAUGUCUUCGGACCAAAGAUUUAUCGCCUUUAGAUGGGCCCGCGUUGGAUUAGCUAGUUGGUGGGGUAAAGGCCUACCAAGGCGACGAUCCAUAGCUGGUCUGAGAGGAUGAUCAGCCACACUGGGACUGAGACACGGCCCAGACUUCUACGGGAGGCAGCAGUGGGGAAUAUUGGACAAUGGGCGAAAGCCUGAUCCAGCAAUGCCGCGUGAGUGAUGAAGGCCUUAGGGUUGUAAAGCUCUUUUACCCGAGAUGAUAAUGACAGUAGCGGGAGAAUAAGCUCCGGCUAACUCCGUG
rnacentral:rRNA from 1 species